ensembl:lncRNA
GCAAAGCAGAGCAGAGGGGAAAAAUCAUCCCUCAUCCUGUUGACCACUCAUCUUUUGGUGAAGCCCAUGUUACCUACAGCCUUUCAGGCUGCAAGCAGACAGUACUAUCUCAUGUCCAGCUUUUUGUCCAUCAGGACCCACACAAGUCCUUCUCCGCAGGAUGGUUCUCAAUGAUUUAUUUUCCCAGCCCACACUCAUAACUGAGAUUACCAUGACUAAAGUGCAACCACUUGUACUUGGUUUUGUUGGACCUCAUUAGGUUCAAAGAGGUCCACCUCAAGGCUGUCCAGGUCCCUUCGAAUCGCACAACUCAUUUUGAUGUCUGCAAACUUCCUGAGGGUACACUUGAUCCUACUGUCUCUGUCAUUGAUCAAAAUGUUAAAAGACCACCAGUCACAAGAUGUACUGAGGGACACCAGUAAACAAUGUGUAUAUUCCAUUUGCUUGACUUGUUUUCUUUGCUUUUUAUAUGUCUGUUGUAUAUUUCAAAAAUGCACUUAGUUUAUUUCUGUUUUUUGACUACAGGAUAAAGAAAUGCUAGCAAUUUGGAUUUCCUAUUCUGCUUUAGGCACUUCUUGGGUUCAAUUUUUUUUUUUUUUUUUUAAAUUUAAGUGCAACAGCUUAUUAUAACGGCUCUAUUUUAUUUAAGAAAAUAAAUAUUGGACAGAACACCCAGCAGUAAAUUAUAUUUUAUAUAAUAUUAACUAAUAUUUUAUGUAUAGUGUCUUAAAACAUUUGUUUUGAGCAAAUUUAUAUAUAUAAUACAACAAAAGUUGAACAUGGGUAACCACGAGACAGCAUAGAAUUUCAUCCACUCAAAUCUGCCUCAGUUUUUUCUUGUCCUUGGUCACAUUCCAUUAGGAAUUAAUUUAAGAUGCAGUGAGCUGUUUACUCCAAAAUACCCUAUGCUAAAGUGUGUUAACCUAAAAAUACAUCUGAAUCCAUAGUGUCUAUUAAUAGGAUGCAAGUGUGAUAUGUAACAUACAACAUUUAGAUUCUCCCUAAUGUGAGACAGAUUUUAUACUGCAUCCCUAGUACAUUUUGGAUGUACAUAUGCCUCAUCAUGAUAAGCAAGUGUUUUUAAAAAGUCCACAGGCUCUUGACAUCAGUGAGAUUGCUUGGACUGUAAGUCAGAACAGUAGAAGUUCCAGGAGUUUUUAUGAGGCACAACAUUCUAUAAUUUGAAACAUUUUUAUGUAAUUCCACCAUCUGUGACGAGAUAAAAAAGAAUUACCUUCAAAAGUGUAACUUCCUUCAAAAGUGUAACUACAGUCUAAAAUAAAAUUAGACUACUUUCUUCAUGCUUAUUUACCACACUUGAUUUCUUUCUGUAUAAAAUUGUUUCAAAAACACUUUAUAUAUAUUUUAAAAAAAGAAAGCAAUACUUGAAUGAUUUGUAAAAAAGGUUUCCAGUUAUUUUAAAAAAUCAUCAUUUUUUUUUCACAUGAAACAAUAUAUUAUUUGAAAAUAUGAAUUGUUUUCAUGCUUUUUGUUUGUACAACACUUAUUUAUAGAAAUUGGACAAGUACUUUUUAUUUCAUGAACACUUAUUGAGACUGCUAGAAAGAUGUAGAACUAAAAGACUUUAUUUUAAAUUCAACAAUAAUGGUCUUGAAUAGCAGGUUUUUACCUUGAAACUACUGUAGUUAUGGUGAGUUACAUCAGUCACUGCUCUUAGCGUUAUAAACAGCUUGGAUCUACAACAUAAUAGCAGUGUACAUGUUCAUUUUCAAAAGAAACAUUCAUAUGCUUGACAUGGAACACGUAGCUUUAAAAACGGUGGAGAUAUAAAACUAACAAUAGAUAGCAUAGCAAAAGCAUACUAGGAUGUGUUAUGUCGUAAUGUCAGAAUUCAAUGCACUUGACAACAGACACUGUUACAUAGGCUAUUUCAUUCCUUUAAAUUAGAAAACACGCAAUUUUUACUCUCUCUCUCUUAAAAAAAAAGAGAAGAAUGUAUAAGCAUUAUAAGGGAAAGAACUGCAAUGUAAGAAAUGAUGAUGUGUAUGCUGUUAGAUUCUAUCUGAAAUAAACAAAUUGAUAUUUUGAAGAAUUAUACACCAGCUUACACAGAGGGCUUAUGGUGGCCUUUGAAGAUGAAACAAAUGAUGAAAUAAAGCUU